UACGGAGGGGACUAGCGUUGUUCGGAAUUACUGGGCGUAAAGCGCACGUAGGCGGAUUUGUAAGUCAGGGGUGAAAUCCCGGGGCUCAACCUCGGAACUGCCUUUGAUACUGCAAAUCUCGAGUCCGGAAGAGGUGAGUGGAAUUCCUAGUGUAGAGGUGAAAUUCGUAGAUAUUAGGAAGAACACCAGUGGCGAAAGGCGGCUCACUGGUCCGAUACUGACGCUGAGGCACGAAAGCGUGGG
rnacentral:rRNA from 1 species